AGGUGCGAUCACACUAGAGCUAAUUCUUCGAAUCCCAUUAGAACUCCGCAGUUAAGCGUGCUUGUGCGAUAGUAGUACUAGGAUGGGUGACCUCUUGGGAAUUCCUCGUUUUCCAUCUU
rnacentral:rRNA from 1 species